AAUCAACGCUGGCGGCGUGCCUCAGACAUGCAAGUCGAACGAUUAAACUUCCCUUCGGGGAAGAUAUAAAGUGGCGCACGGGUGAGUAACACGUAAGUAAUCCACCUUCGAGUGGGGAAUAACAUCGGGAGACCGAUGCUAAUACCGCAUAACGCAGCGGCACCUUAUGGUGACAGUUGUUAAAGGAGCAAUUCGCUUGAAGAGGAGCUUGCGGCAGAUUAGCUAGUUGGUAAGGUAAUGGCUUACCAAGGCUUCGAUCUGUAUCCGGUCUAAGAGGACGGUCGGACACACUGACACUGAAUAACGGGUCAGACUCCUACGGGAGGCAGCAGUCGGGAAUUUUGGGCAAUGGGCGAAAGCCUGACCCAGCAACGCCGCGUGAAGGAUGAAGUAUUUCGGUAUGUAAACUUCGAAAGAAUGGGAAGAACUCAAUGACGGUACCAUUUAUAAGCUCCGGCUAACUACGUGCCAGCAGCCGCGGUAAUACGUAGGGAGCAAGCGUUGUUCGGUA
rnacentral:rRNA from 1 species